rnacentral:rRNA from 1 species
GACGAACGCUGGCGGCGUGCUUAACACAUGCAAGUCGAACGGAAAGGCCCUGCUUUUGUGGGGUGCUCGAGUGGCGAACGGGUGAGUAACACGUGAGUAACCUGCCCUUGACUUUGGGAUAACUUCAGGAAACUGGGGCUAAUACCGGAUAGGAGCUCCUGCUGCAUGGUGGGGGUCGGAAAGUUUCGGCGGUUGGGGAUGGACUCGCGGCUUAUCAGCUUGUUGGUGGGGUAGUGGCUUACCAAGGCUUUGACGGGUAGCCGGCCUGAGAGGGUGACCGGCCACAUUGGGACUGAGAUACGGCCCAGACUCCUACGGGAGGCAGCAGUGGGGAAUAUUGCACAAUGGGCGGAAGCCUGAUGCAGCAACGCCGCGUGCGGGAUGACGGCCUUCGGGUUGUAAACCGCUUUCGCCUGUGACGAAGCGUGAGUGACGGUAAUGGGUAAAGAAGCACCGGCUAACUACGUGCCAGCAGCCGCGGUGAUACGUAGGGUGCGAGCGUUGUCCGGAUUUAUUGGGCGUAAAGGGCUCGUAGGUGGUUGAUCGCGUCGGAAGUGUAAUCUUGGGGCUUAACCCUGAGCGUGCUUUCGAUACGGGUUGACUUGAGGAAGGUAGGGGAGAAUGGAAUUCCUGGUGGAGCGGUGGAAUGCGCAGAUAUCAGGAGGAACACCAGUGGCGAAGGCGGUUCUCUGGGCCUUUCCUGACGCUGAGGAGCGAAAGCGUGGGGAGCGAACAGGCUUAGAUACCCUGGUAGUCCACGCUGUAAACGGUGGGUACUAGGUGUGGGGUCCAUUCCACGGGUUCCGUGCCGUAGCUAACGCUUUAAGUACCCCGCCUGGGGAGUACGGCCGCAAGGCUAAAACUCAAAGGAAUUGACGGGGCCCCGCACAAGCGGCGGAGCAUGCGGAUUAAUUCGAUGCAACGCGUAGAACCUUACCUGGGUUUGACAUGGAUCGGGAGCGCUCAGAGAUGGGUGUGCCUCUUUUGGGGUCGGUUCACAGGUGGUGCAUGGCUGUCGUCAGCUCGUGUCGUGAGAUGUUGGGUUAAGUCCCGCAACGAGCGCAACCCUUGUUCACUGUUGCCAGCACGUUAUGGUGGGGACUCAGUGGAGACCGCCGGGGUCAACUCGGAGGAAGGUGGGGAUGACGUCAAGUCAUCAUGCCCCUUAUGUCCAGGGCUUCACGCAUGCUACAAUGGCUGGUACAGAGAGUGGCGAGCCUGUGAGGGUGAGCGAAUCUCGGAAAGCCGGUCUCAGUUCGGAUUGGGGUCUGCAACUCGACCUCAUGAAGUCGGAGUCGCUAGUAAUCGCAGAUCAGCAACGCUGCGGUGAAUACGUUCCCGGGGCU